AGUCGGUAGCUCAGUGGUAGAGUUCAUGCUUUGUGUGUAUGACGUCCUAGGUUCAAAUCCCAGCUGCUC
rnacentral:tRNA from 1 species